GACAGAGGGUGCAAACGUUGUUCGGAAUUACUGGGCGUAAAGCGCGUGUAGGCUGCUUGGCAAGUCGGAUGUGAAAGCCCUGGGCUCAACCCAGGAAGUGCAUUCGAAACUGCGAAGCUGGAGUCCUGUAGAGGCAGGUGGAAUUCCGGGUGUAGCGGUGGAAUGCGUAGAGAUCCGGAAGAACACCGGUGGCGAAGGCGGCCUGCUGGGCAGUGGCUGACGCUGAUGCGCGACAGCGUGGGGAGCAAACAGG
rnacentral:rRNA from 1 species